UCUAAUCUGUGAACAAUUCGCUUCUUCUCUUUUCUCACAUCACAAAACCCUAAUCUUCACUUCUUCUUCUUUUUUUGAUCUAUUGUUUAAUUCACAUUACAAAACCCUAAUCUUCACUUCUUCUUCUUCUUCUUUUGAUCUAUUGUUUAAUUGCAGGAUGUUUACUUUGACGAUCGAUUGGCUGAAGUUCUGAUCUCAUCCGUCAGGCUUGGCGAUGACCAAAAGAGGGUAUCACUUCUGCAGAUAAGUGUGUAUACAGAAUGUGAUUUAGUCUCCCGAGUUCUGGAAUCACCACCGCUUUGCCACCAACCUUCAUAUAUCCUCUCUCGCUCUCUUUCAAUACGACAAUCAAAUACUCAGGAACUUUGAAGUCAGAUCCUUCUCCCCUUUUUCCAUGAAUGCAGAGAGAAAAUUAUUUGCAGGAAGCUUGGGCUAGCUUGGAAGGCGCAGGAAACAGUUUGACAUCUCUCGCAAUCUCAAUUUGUUGAGGAUUUAAACUCCCUUGAAGCCUAACAAUUUAUCUUGCUUACAAAAUCUAAUUUAAUAUAAUAUUUGUAUAGGGACGGCAGUAAUCAUAAUAUAACGAUUUAGAAUCAGAAAGAUGUGCCGCUUAAUGGAUUCAUGCAUCGAAACGUAUUAAAAUUUAUUGGUUUUUUUUAGUUAUCUCUUAAUGAGUUCUCUGAGUUUAUUUUUAUUGAUUGGGGUUUGUUGAUUUUUGUUCCAGGUUUUUCUACAGGAUAUACUAAAUUUGUGCAUGCUCAUCUUAACAUCUGAACUUAAAAGGUAGGCGUUUUGUUAAAAACACGGCAGGCUCAUAAUUUUAACAACUUAAUUUCAAAGGUGUUUUUUUGUUUUAUUGUUUCAAGCUAGGCUCUUGCUGCAUGUGUUGGAUUUUCCGAAGGAGAAUUCAGAAAAUUAGGAUAUAACUGGGUAUAGUGAUAUUACAAUUGUUUCGAUGAUGCCAUCUUUAUUUAUUUUUAUAUUUCGAUUGCGUUCUUUUAUUCAUGGUCUUGCAAGUAGGAGAAGAUACAUGCUUAUUUUUUUUCUUUACUUUUUUUAAGAUACUGGCUGAUCUAAUGCUUAUCCUAAAAGUCGAGCCUUCGGUUUAUAUCAAUAUUAUUCUUUGCAUGUACGUAGUAAUUUAUAUAUUGAUAUUAUUCUUUGAAUGUAUAUAGUAAUUUAUAUUGGUUGUUUUGAUCUAACUAACUGAGAUAUUUUGCAGAAAGCACCAUUGAGACAUGUCCUCUAAGAAAUAUCGGCACGAUAAAGGAGUGUUACUUUUAACGAGGAUGCUUUAAACCCAGUAAACUUGAACUCGAUGACUACAAUAACAUAAGUAAUAUCGAUGAGUUAGGAUGCAGUAACAAUAUUCGGGUACAGUUAGGAAGAAUAGCCUCCUGGAUUAAUAUGCAAACUCUUGGUGUACAAGAGUGACAAAGUUGAAAGUACAGAAGAUCGAAGACCCCCUUUAUAUGUGAUUGUAGUACACAACCACCAUUCUAUAUAUAUAAAUAAUUUCUAUUCACUUCAUUUAUCUUCCUGAUUAUGUUACUGGGAAAGAAUCUUAGCAUCACUUAGUACUUAGCCGUUCAACCCUGUAAGCAAAUGCCCUUCCCAGCCAUAUCCGGAAUGAAUGAGAGAUCGUAGAACCACGGUUUUUUAUCCUACUGGUGUUGCUUCUUCGUUCCGGCUGAGGUGUUGCUUCUUCGUUCUGGCUGAGGUGUUGCUUCUUUGCUCCAGUUGAUGCAAUGGUGUAUAGACUGAGUGGAUAAAACGAGUCAUAUAUGAUAUCCAGCUUGGAAAACUGAGCACGGUGCACCCAUUUUCCAAAUACACUUGCUCGAUAAGAGCGCGGGAAUUGAACCCGAAACCUAUAGGUAUUUUGUAGCAUUUGGGUGAGAAAACGUCGAGACAUAUCCGGUUAUUAGCCAGUCUUUGUUCUGUUUAUAGUUACCAGCUUUUUGUUUUCCUUUUUAUUUGAAGGUAUUUUGUAGCUACCAAGGGAGGAAGUUUACAGUCUAAAGAUUCAAAAGCAUCCUUACAAGGUCCGGAUAAAUUUUGCAGUCGGAAGCCUCCUAAGCAAGUGCCUUUCGGGUUGCCACCAUGUGAGCACUCUCAAUUGCAGCUGAUGGACAGAAACCAGGUGAACAAUACUUAGCAAGAACAUAAUGGAUAUAAACAAGCAGAAUUGUUGGAUUGAAACCAUAAACCUUUACCUCAUUUGUAGUUGGUCGAUGUCAUUCAUGCUUACAUUCCUCAAUUUUGUCAUAGAUAUUUAGUCCUACUUCUACCGAAGCCUGCAGGUUUGUACAUGACACAAAAAUAAUUAGUUAUACCUUCCUUUGGUAUUCA